GACGUAAUGAUUAAUAGGGGAUAGUUGGGGGCAUUAGUAUUCAAUUGUCAGAGGUGAAAUUCUUGGAUUUAUUGAAGACUAACUACUGCGAAAGCAUUUGCCAAGGAUGUUUUCAUUAAUCAAGAACGAAAGUUAGGGGAUCGAAGACGAUCAGAUACCGUCGUAGUCUUAACCAUAAACUAUGCCGACUAGGGAUCGGAUGAUGUUAAUUUUUAAUGACUCA
rnacentral:rRNA from 1 species